CAAAUAUUAAGUUCGUUUGAAAUAGUUCACAAUUGGUAUUUACCGUUCACAUCUGAUAACUGAAGAGGAAUUCAAUGUUAUUAAAAUCGUGUUUGCGAAAAAGUUAAUAAAAAUAACCUAGCAAAGAAGAUUCGUAGAAAAAUGGAAUAACAAGAAAGUAAAUGUAUCUUAUGGCAAAACUGACAAUCCAGUGUUUUUUUUUUCUACAUUUCAUUCAUCUUCACUCUCCAUUCGCACGCAUACCUAAAUAUGUUCCCGUAGGGGAAAAUUGCGUAUACUGAAUUGUUUUGUUCUACAACUCGCAUCUACUCAACUAUAUUCCCUACUUGACUAUACUUCUGCACUUCAAAAGUCAUGUGUAUCUAUCCUAAUCUUUAUAUUAUACAGUGGAAUGC